rnacentral:snRNA from 1 species
UGCUUUGCGCAGUGGCAGUAUUAUAGCCAAUGAAGUGAAUCCGAGGUGUGAUUAUUGCUAGUUGUUAACUUUUAAUUAAAAUUCAUUGUGACUGUUUUGUCUUCCAUUCCAUGAGCAGGCACCUUUCUCAGCCUGCUUUACAAAUACAGCCCACACACUAUGUAGAGUCUGUGGAAAC